AGAGUGAACGCUGGCGGUAGGCCUAACACAUGCAAGUCGAACGGCAGCACAGGAGAGCUUGCUCUCUGGGUGGCGAGUGGCGGACGGGUGAGGAAUACAUCGGAAUCUACCUUUUCGUGGGGGAUAACGUAGGGAAACUUACGCUAAUACCGCAUAAGACCUUCGGGUGAAAGCCGGGGACCUUCGGGCCUGGCGCGGAUAGAUGAGCCGAUGUCGGAUUAGCUUGUUGGCGGGGU
rnacentral:rRNA from 1 species